rnacentral:rRNA from 1 species
AGGGGGAUGACACUUGGAAACAGGUGCUAAUACCGCAUAACAGUUUAUGCCGCAUGGCAUAAGAGUGAAAGGCGCUUUCGGGUGUCGCUGAUGGAUGGACCCGCGGUGCAUUAGCUAGUUGGUGAGGUAACGGCUCACCAAGGCCACGAUGCAUAGCCGACCUGAGAGGGUGAUCGGCCACACUGGGACUGAGACACGGCCCAG